rnacentral:rRNA from 1 species
UACGUAGGUGGCAAGCGUUGUCCGGAUUUACUGGGCGUAAAGAGCGCGCAGGCGGUCGUUCAAGUCGCGUGUGAAAGCCCCCGGCUCAACUGGGGAGGGUCACGCGAUACUGAUCGACUCGAAGGCAGGAGAGGGAAGUGGAAUUCCCGGUGUAGUGGUGAAAUGCGUAGAUAUCGGGAGGAACACCAGUGGCGAAGGCGGGUCUCUGGGCCGAUACUGACGCUGAGGAGCGAAAGCGUGGGGGAGCGAACAGG